CAACUCAGAAGCAUCAGCUCACCACAAGCAUCCCAGCGGGGUAGGACCCAAGUCACGGAGGUCUGUUUUUAGCCCUGGAUGAGCCCCAGGCAGGAGGAACAAGCAAGCACUGCAAAUCAGAGGUGUACCAAGUUCAUGCAGCAAAUGAGGCAGAUCUACCCUGGUGUGCUUUCUUCUUGGUGGAUCUAUGCUGCAGGUCCUUAUGGCACGGAAGGAGAAAUCUCGGUCUCUACCUGCACUGCUUCACGAGGUCUAUGAAGAUCUUCAUUAGAUGGAGGAAUUAGGAGUAUAUACUGCUUCUGCCAAAAUAAUUUCAAAGCACCUUGCUGUUAUAUUAUACAGACAUUACAAGCAGCUCCCUGAGGAAAAUGUAACACAAUCUCCACGGUGCCACAAGGCUUCAGGUCAUGUCACAGGCACUGGGGUGGAGAAGUUUGUGAAGUACUAUCUUCAAAUCAAGCCUUCAUCAAGAGACACAGCCAGGAAGAACAAGUAGCCCAGUCCACUGUCCAACAGAACCUACCACCAGGCAAAAACCAGAAAUGGAGGAAGAUCUGAGGCAAGGAAAGCGCUCCUCCAGGCCAAGCAGGCUGCAUCAGGUCAGCAAAAGCACGCUUAUGUGACAGAAGACUCACCACAAGUGUGCCAACAAUGCUGUCAUCAAAAUCAUCUCCUACCAACUUGCUUUGCAAAAGCGACACAAAUUUUUAAGUGCAGUUUCAGCCUGAAUAAACAUAAACCAGGCUCUGUACCCACUAUAUAACUAAGCCAUGGGAACAAAACCUGCCAGCAACAGGAUCAGUGCAUAAAGUAGCUACUUUGGCAAUUACUCUGAACUGAGUGAUCCUACAGAGGAAACAGUUGUAGAUACAUUAACACCCGAGUCUCAAAGGUUGAAAAGUAGUCCCCCUCAGAAAGUACUGACCGUGACCUGCAGUACCAGAGACAGACAGGUCCUAGCUCCAAAAGCAGAGUCUAUCUCCAGAACGUCUCUUCCUAUCUCCAGGAAUGGAAGAGACAGAACACAGCAUUCAUCUUUGAGAUACAAUACUGGAAUCAAGAAGCAAACCACCAUGAAAAAGCAAGUGAGGUUUGUGAGAAAAAGUCUGAAAUAAGCAAAGAUGCUAUAAUAAAACCCUUCCUUUAAAAAUAAGCUAUCCACUGGCAGCCUUUACAAAUAGUUACACACAGAUCAUCUGCUCAUCUCCACAAAAACACUGGUUUCACACAGGACCCCUGACUUGUCCUGAUGAUUUUUCUUUUCAAAAAAACUGUAAGAGUAUCUUGUUUGAGAGAGCUGCCCCUGCAGAGAGAAGCAAGACCCAGUCUUGAUGAAAUCUAUACUCAGGCCACAAAACCAGCUA